ensembl:lncRNA
GCAUAUUUCAGUAGAAUAAUUCAAGUUUUGCUGUUUGCUCAGUCUUACAUCAAAAGUCUAUGACAGAAUUAAGAGUUAUUUCUCUACAGUAACACAGUCCAUGAUGAAAGAACUGAACCGAUUUUCUGAAGACCUGGGAUAAAUUCCUAACUCUUUCACAACUCCUGCAUCUUCUGAGGGAGUUUCAGCCUCCUUGUGCAAGACUACUAGGAGCCAACUGUGGAAACAAAUCUCUCAGCUGCUGGAGCUAUCAAGUAAUCAAGAUAUUACUCAAGAGGCUAAAGCUCUUUUGACUUUCAACCUGGGGUCUGUGAGGUUGAUGUGAAGGGAUGCUUGCUCCACCUGUGGCUAAUUAACAAAGCCAAAGUGAAACAGAGCCCAAGAACUGUAAUAAUUAAUUUCCAUUUUGAAAUGAUGGGCUAUAACAUCUCUUCACCUCACGGACCCCCAUGCUCCCACACCCUGUAUAGAGGAAGAGAAAAAAUAAAAGAAGAGGAACAGCAGGCAAUAACUUUGUUGGGGAGCACAUCCCCUUUGUUUUAUACGGUACAAAUUACUAACAUGUUGCUGGAGGUCUAAAUCACUAGAGCAUAUGUGAAAAGUGGUAAGAGGAGACAUUUGAAAUGAAAAAAAUGUAUGCAUUCUGCCUCAAACCUUGAGAGUUGUUUGUUUCUAUGACUUCCUUACAAGCUACUCUUGGGUGGUUCCUGAGACAACCAUGUACUGAAGAUUCUCUUUGAAAUCUAGAUGUGGUUUAGACAUACCCUGCAGGCAGAAAAAUAUGUACCAUGUUGCUAUAACACACUAUGUAUAUUGCUGUAACAUGCUAUACAUGUUGCUAUAACAUUUAAGGAGUAAUGUAAUGAGAAAUAAAGGAAAAUAUUUUUAUAUUACUGUUUAUUACAUUUCAUCUAUUGUUUGUUAGCUGGCUUUAUAGAAGCUAAUACUUAUUCAGUUUUUACAAACAAUUCAAAUAUUGGGAAACAGUUGACAACAAAGUUCAAGAUCAAUGUACGAUAUGUGCUUACACAGUAGAUAGAAUAAUAUGGAUUGUAAAACUACGUAUAGAUUGCCUUUGUCCACAUGUAUACAUAGAUACCACUGUAUAUGAAAACAUGUCAGCGAGUUUUGUUCAGUGUGAUUCUGGUUUGUGGACUUACUGAAGAUAUUACAAAAUUGGAAAUGAUGACUUAGAAGACACAAAUUUCAUUCUCUCUAAAAUGGUAAAAUAAAGAAGGAAAGUUAUGUGAAUCUGUACCAAGAACAUUGAACUAUGGACUAAACAAAUUAUGAUGGGUAUCUAGGAGAAUUUCCCAAGUGUAUCUUAUCACUUUCUCACAGCUAUACUGAUUACCAUCAAUUUGUCUGAAUUAUUUACCUUUUAAAAGGAUUUUCACUGCAGCUCAUCUAGUCCCCUUCCCUUCUAUUCCCUUUACUUAGUGCUCACAUGAUGCAGCAGGAACCAUUUCAUGGAAUCUUUGAACUUGAGCUAAUGGAAUAUGACCUUGAAAAAAUGCAACUUGUUUAUUUCCAGCACUGAAAUAUCCUAGAAAUUUAUUUUGAUUGUUACUGAAUAUAGCACAAAGUGUCUGCAUUUUGGUUUUGCUCCUCAUUGUGCAUCAUGAUAUCCACGAGAACCUGUGGCUGAUGUGAAUUACAUACACAUUUACAUACUAUAAAUGGAGAAUGGCUUUC